AUUCUUUAUUGUGUCAGGAACAAGAGAACUCUCAGAACCAUAUAUCCUAGUUCUUCCACGAAGUUGCUCAUUACAGCCCAUGGAAGAGAAAAGGUGUCCCCUGCUCAACAUUUAUCCAGGAAUAAACUCCUUCAAUCAGAACUAGAGCGUUCAUAUAACGUAAGGAUUUCUCAAAGAAUAUCCUGCAGAACUCAGCCCCUUGAAAGAAUUUUUUCCCAAGAUCUUCCUGUUCCUCACUUUAUUUACAAUAUGGCGUGGGCACUGUACCGGAGACACCAAGAGGAUAGAGAAACGAAACCACCCCUAUGGCAAGAGCACUGGGGAAAGCACCAUGUACACAUAGGAGUAGCUAUAAAAAA